rnacentral:rRNA from 1 species
AGACCCGAAACCCGGUGAUCUAGCCAUGGGCAGGUUGAAGGUUGGGUAACACUAACUGGAGGACCGAACCGACUAAUGUUGAAAAAUUAGCGGAUGACCUGUGGCUGGGGGUGAAAGGCCAAUCAAACCGGGAGAUAGCUGGUUCUCCCCGAAAGCUAUUUAGGUAGCGCCUCGUGAAUUCAUCUCCGGGGGUAGAGCACUGUUUCGGCUAGGGGGCCAUCCCGGCUUACCAACCCGAUGCAAACUGCGAAUACCGGAGAAUGUUAUCACGGGAGACACACGGCGGGUGCUAACGUCCGUCGUGAAGAGGGAAACAACCCAGACCGCCAGCUAAGGUCCCAAAGUCAUGGUUAAGUGGGAAACGAUGUGGGAAGGCCCAGACAGCCAGGAUGUUGGCUUAGAAGCAGCCAUCAUUUAAAGAAAGCGUAAUAGCUCACUGGUCGAGUCGGCCUGCGCGGAAGAUGUAACGGGGCUAAACCAUGCACCGAAGCUGCGGCAGCGAACGUAUCACCCAAGACAACUUUACGGAGUUGACGAUUGACGGAGCGAAGCGACGUCAAAGCGUUCAUUAAAGUCGAGUUGGCUUAGGGAUACGUUCGUUGGGUAGGGGAGCGUUCUGUAAGCCUGUGAAGGUGUGUCGUGAGGCAUGCUGGAGGUAUCAGAAGUGCGAAUGCUGACAUAAGUAACGAUAAAGCGGGUGAAAAGCCCGCUCGCCGGAAGACCAAGGGUUCCUGUCCAACGUUAAUCGGGGCAGGGUGAGUCGACCCCUAAGGCGAGGCCGAAAGGCGUAGUCGAUGGGAAACGGGUUAAUAUUCCCGUACUUGGUGUUACUGCGAAGGGGGGACGGAGAAGGCUAUGUUGGCCGGGCGACGGUUGUCCCGGUUUAAGCGUGUAGGUGUGUGUUCCAGGUAAAUCCGGUUCACUUUAACACUGAGGCGUGAUGACGAGGCACUACGGUGCUGAAGCAACAAAUGCCCUGCUUCCAGGAAAAGCCUCUAAGCAUCAGGUAACAUCAAAUCGUACCCCAAACCGACACAGGUGGUCAGGUAGAGAAUACCAAGGCGCUUGAGAGAACUCGGGUGAAGGAACUAGGCAAAAUGGUGCCGUAACUUCGGGAGAAGGCACGCUGACAC